rnacentral:rRNA from 1 species
UGGGGAAUAUUGCACAAUGGGGGAAACCCUGAUGCAGCGACGCUGCGUGAGCGAAGAAGUAUUUCGGUAUGUAAAGCUCUAUCAGCAAGGAAGAUAAUGACGGUACUUGACUAAGAAGCUCCGGCUAAAUACGUGCCAGCAGCCGCGGUAAUACGUAUGGAGCAAGCGUUAUCCGGAUUUACUGGGUGUAAAGGGAGCGUAGACGGCAUGGCAAGUCUGAUGUGAAAGCCCGGGGCUCAACCCCGGAACUGCAUUGGAAACUGUCGUGCUGGAGUGCAGGAGAGGUAAGCGGAAUUCCUAGUG